AAGCUUUUGUGUCCCUUGGGUGCCCCUGGGUUUUUGUUCGUUUCACCACUCCUAGUUUCUGUUCAUAGGAGCUAGUUGUGUUUGUAUGGCAUUCUCCCAGUCGCAUCCUUG
rnacentral:rRNA from 1 species